GGGGGAAUCUUGCACAAUGGGGGCAACCCUGAUGCAGCAACGCCGCGUGAGUGAAGAAGGCCCUUGGGUUGUAAAGCUCUUUCGGCUAGGAAGAAGGGCGGACGUCCUGAAUAAGGGCGUUGCAUGACGGUACUAGAAGAAGAAGCACCGGCGAACCCUGUGCCAGCAGCCGCGGUAAUACAGAGGGUGCGAGCGUUGUUCGGAAUUACUGGGCGUAAAGGGCGCGUAGGCGGCCUGUUAAGUCGAACGUGAAAUCCCCGGGCUCAACCUGGGAACUGCGUCCGAAACUGGCAGGCUCGAAUUCGGGAGAGGGAUGCGGAAUUCCAGGUGUAGCGGUGAAAUGCGUAGAUAUCUGGAGGAACAUCGGUGGCGAAGGCGGCAUCCUGGACCGAUAUUGACGCUGAGGCGCGAAAGCCAGGGGAGCAAA
rnacentral:rRNA from 1 species